GGGGAAUUUUGGACAAUGGGGGCAACCCUGAUCCAGCCAUCCCGCGUGUGCGAUGAAGGCCUUCGGGUUGUAAAGCACUUUUGGCAGGGAAGAAAAGGUUCUGGAUAAUACCUGGAGCCGCUGACGGUACCUGCAGAAUAAGCACCGGCUAACUACGUGCCAGCAGCCGCGGUAAUACGUAGGGUGCAAGCGUUAAUCGGAAUUACUGGGCGUAAAGCGUGCGCAGGCGGUUCGGAAAGAAAGAUGUGAAAUCCCAGGGCUUAACCUUGGAAUGGCAUUUUUAACUACCGGGCUAGAGUAUGUCAGAGGGGGGUAGAAUUCCACGUGUAGCAGUGAAAUGCGUAGAGAUGUGGAGGAAUACCGAUGGCGAAGGCAGCCCCCUGGGAUAAUACUGACGCUCAUGCACGAAAGCGUGGGGAGCAAAC
rnacentral:rRNA from 1 species